rnacentral:rRNA from 1 species
GGUCAAGCUACUACGGGCACAUGGUGGAUGCCUUGGCAUCACAGGCCGAAGAAGGGCGUAGCAAGACUGCGAAAAGCCUCGGUUUGUCGUCUAGCAGACUU